rnacentral:rRNA from 1 species
AGGGUUUGAUCCUGGCUCAGAACGAACGCUGGCGGCGUGGCUAAGACAUGCAAGUCGAACGGACUAUACGAUUGAGUAAUCGAGAGUAUAGUUAGUGGCGAAAGGGUUAGUAAUGGAUAGGUAACGUACCACGUACUUCAGAAUAGCGUCUAGGUGCUUGCACCUUUCCGAAAGGGGCGGUAAUACUGAAUAAUGUCGGUUGUCGAUGGACAAUCGAUCAAAGAUUCAUCGGUAUGGGAGCGGCCUAUUUCCUAUCAGCUUGUUGGUGAGGUAACGGCUCACCAAGGCUUAGACGGGUAGCGGGACUGAGAGGUUGGCCCGCAACAUCGGGACUGAGACACUGCCCGGACCUCCACGGAGGGCUGCAGUAACGAAUAUUGCGCAAUGAGCGAAAGCUUGACGCAGCGACGCCGCGUGUAGGAUGAAGUCUCUCGGGAUGUAAACUACUGUCAGGGAUAAGAAAGUCUACUUCGGUAGAUUGAUCUACCCCAGAGGAAGUCACGGCUGACUUCGUGCCAGCAGCCGCGGUAAGACGAAGGUGGCAAGCGUUGUUCGGUAUUACUGGGCUUAAAGCGUGUGUAGGCGGAAUGGUAAGCGUCUUGUGAAAUCCCUCAGCUUAACUGAGGAAUUGCUCGACGAACUGCCUUUCUUGAGGCAAGUAGGGGUGCACGGAACUCAUGGUGGAGCGGUGGAAUGCGUAGAUAUCAUGAGGAACGCCAGAGGUGAAGACGGUGCACUGGGCUUGAUCUGACGCUGAGACACGAAAGCGUGGGGAGCAAACAGGAUUAGAUACCCUGGUAGUCCACGCUGUAAACGAUGUCUACUAGGUCGUGGGGGUUCUGACGCCGUCACGGCCGGAGCAAAAGUAUUAAGUAGACCGCCUGGGGAGUACGGUCGCAAGGCUAAAACUCAAAGGAAUUGACGGGGGCUCACACAAGCGGUGGAGCAUGUGGAUUAAUUCGAAGCAACGCGUAGAACCUUACCUGGGUUUGACAUGCUUGGAUGCCCUCCUGGAAACGGGAGUAAGCUGCCUUUCGGGGUGAAACUUGCACAGGUGCUGCAUGGCUGUCGUCAGCUCGUGUCGUGAGAUGUUGGGUUAAGUCCUUUAACGAGCGAAACCCUUGCCGUUAGUUGCCAGCGGGUCAUGCCGGGGACUCUAGCGGGAC